CACAUUUUCGGCUCUUUAAUGCAUAAUUUGUUGCUUGAUUACAUAUGAACAUAACUUGACAACAAUUAGGAACAUAAAUGACAGAUUUAUUUCCUUAACAUUAAUCUAGUCACUGAGCUUUUCAUGCAGUUCCCAGGGGAGCUUCUUGAUUGACAAGUGCCCUGUCCCUUUGUGUGGAAACACCCCCAUGAAGUUAUGUGAUUGCAGUCACAUGACAUCCAUGCUAAAAUUAUAGUAAAAGUCCUGUUGUCUAAAUUUUGUUAGAACAGGAAAUAAACACACUGCAUCUUAGGUGUACCAGAUUACUCAAUGUCCCAGAUUACCCGAGUUCACCCUAUUUAUUUCUACACUAAAACUGUGGUAACAAAAGUAAUGGUCAAAUGAAACAAAAUCCAUUUUUAUUAAAUAAAAACGUAUUAAAUGUAGUAGUUACUGUAUUUUGGCAGUUAACCGCUGCUGGUACCUACAUUUUGUAAUUAACAAGUGUGGCCUUUUGUCUGAAUAAUAAUGACAAACUCCUUUAAGACAUUAUGUAAAUAAAUAUGGUUUUUUGAAAAUAAAAAAUGUACAUUUUAAACCAAACCCAUUAUGACUCUUGUGGUGACAAAGAUUUUACUCAGAAACUGUAGUGGCCCUUUGCCAAGUAAUGUGAUUUUAUUGAAUAGCUAAAAUAUUCCACCGAUUAAGCCUUGAUUUAUCAUGUGAAUUACAAGCUCAUACAUUUCACUUUCACCGUUUUGUCACACAGAUGUUACCCUUUGGCAGGCUGCCCACAAAAUAAAUACAUGUAUUAGUCCAUCAAGUCUCUGGUGAUCAGUGCACAAUGGUUGUCUGAUUUAUUACAGCUCUUCAAAGAGGAAUACACAACAUAUGAGGGUCCAGAUCCUGGGGACUCAUUUACAAGGGAGAAAAAGCCAUUUAGACUUAAUCAAACAUCUAUCCAUGUUUGUGAUUGUCCUUUUUCGGGUAGCAGAGUGGAUUCCAGCUAUGAUUAAAUUUUAUCAGGUGUCCAUGGGCAGCAAUGAACACUAAACUGCAAGAGUUGGGGGUUUCUCUGUCCACAUUAGCAAAUGACACAGCCACCUUUCUCUUUGAAUGGGUUCUUCUCUUCUGGAAUGCCUUUGACCAAAGGAUCCUCAUCUGCUCCGCUCUGAAUGUACUCUGAAAUCUCUUCACAGCAUUUGGACACCUGAUGAAAAAGGUCAUUUAAGUGACAAUCAAACAAAAAUGAGCAUAACAAUGCCCAUCCAACUUUGAUGACCAUUUUAUGAGUAGAUUUCAACGCUUACCUUCGCCCUUUCAAGCUUCACCUCAAUUUUGAGUUGGGUUACUUCCAUUUUAGCCUUAUCCAGAUCUGUUAGCUCUUCUACAUUUAUGACCGGCAUUGUCUGAGAAAUCAAAUCAAACGUUCACAUCACAUGUGGUAGGGUAUUUAUGUUUGAGAUAUUUAAUUAUACAAUAUACUGCUGAUGACCAGACUUACUGCCGCUUAUGAUGAGGUCUCCUCCACCUGUGAAAAUGGACAGAGAUUCUGUACCUCUCUCUCAAUCUGGUUUAUAAAGUAAUCUGCAUAAACAUGUAAUCGCUUAAUCUCAUUUAAACAACCACUCAUAUUUUAUCUUUCCAUAGUCUUCUCCAAAUGUCUGGUCAGCUGUUCU
ensembl:lncRNA